rnacentral:tRNA from 1 species
GGGGUAGUUAAAAUUAAAGUUCAUACAGAUGGUGUGAAUUAAAAAGUAUUAGGGAAAACUGUUAGUGUUUACAGUAUAAUUGGAGGUUCGAAUCCUUCUAUCCCCACCA